rnacentral:rRNA from 1 species
UACGAAGGGUGCAAGCGUUACUCGGAAUUACUGGGCGUAAAGGGUGCGUAGGUGGUUGUUUUAAGUCUGUUGUGAAAGCCCCGGGCUCAACCUGGGAAUGGCAAUGGAUACUGGACAGCUAGAGUGCGGUAGAGGGUAGUGGAAUUCCCGGUGUAGCAGUGAAAUGCGUAGAGAUCGGGAGGAACACCAGUGGCGAAGGCGGCUACCUGGACCAGCACUGACACUGAAGCACGAAAGCGUGGGGAGCAAACAGG